rnacentral:rRNA from 1 species
UGCAAGUCGAACGGUGAUAUCGGAGCUUGCUCUGGUUGAUCAGUGGCGAACGGGUGAGUAACACGUGAGUAACCUGCCCUUGACUCUGGGAUAAGCGUUGGAAACGACGUCUAAUACCGGAUAUGAGAUGCGACCGCAUGGUCUGUGUCUGGAAAGUUUUUCGGUCAAGGAUGGACUCGCGGCCUAUCAGCUUGUUGGUGAGGUAAUGGCUCACCAAGGCGUCGACGGGUAGCCGGCCUGAGAGGGCGACCGGCCACACUGGGACUGAGACACGGCCCAGACUCCUACGGGAGGCAGCAGUGGGGAAUAUUGCACAAUGGGCGAAAGCCUGAUGCAGCGACGCCGCGUGAGGGAUGAAGGCCUUCGGGUUGUAAACCUCUUUCAGUAGGGAAGAAGCGAAAGUGACGGUACCUGCAGAAGAAGCACCGGCUAACUACGUGCCAGCAGCCGCGGUAAUACGUAGGGUGCAAGCGUUGUCCGGAAUUAUUGGGCGUAAAGAGCUCGUAGGCGGUUUGUCGCGUCUGGUGUGAAAACUCAAGGCUCAACCUUGAGCUUGCAUCGGGUACGGGCAGACUAGAGUGUGGUAGGGGUGACUGGAAUUCCUGGUGUAGCGGUGGAAUGCGCAGAUAUCAGGAGGAACACCGAUGGCGAAGGCAGGUCACUGGGCCACUACUGACGCUGAGGAGCGAAAGCAUGGGGAGCGAACAGGAUUAGAUACCCUGGUAGUCCAUGCCGUAAACGUUGGGCACUAGGUGUGGGGCUCAUUCCACGAGUUCCGCGCCGCACCUAACGCAUUAAGUGCCCCGCCUGGGGAGUACGGCCGCAAGGCUAAAACUCAAAGGAAUUGACGGGGGCCCGCACAAGCGGCGGAGCAUGCGGAUUAAUUCGAUGCAACGCGAAGAACCUUACCAAGGCUUGACAUACACCGGAAUCAUGCAGAGAUGUGUGCGUCUUC